AGGCGCGACACUGUGGAAUGCAGAUGGAGAAUUCUGUGCAAAUUAAAACCUUGAUAACUUUGCCUUCCGGUCAUGGAAUCGAGCUAGGAUUUUUUUGACGGCUGCAGAAUCAUGGGCCUCACCCUUGAGAGACUGGAUUUGGAGAGUUGGACCCCCAGAGAUUUUUCUAGAAAUUACUUACCAUAGGCCACGAAGCAGCGGUUGUUUCGACGAAACGUCGAAUAUCUGAGGGUCCACAACUGGUUUUCAACGAGGUGGUUAGUAUAGGGAUGGCACAUAGGACGUUAGGGUGGAUAGCUUAGACGAUGUCGGUGUCAAGCGCGUCGACUAACCGCGCCGUUAAG
rnacentral:misc_RNA from 1 species